UUUAGAAACACUUCAAAUAAGGGCUGUGUUUACCCUGGCGUGACGUUUUGAUAACCAUGUAAAUCUCUCUAGGACAAGGCGACUUAUCAAUAUUAGACUGUGCUAAUUAGCUGCUAACGUGCCUAUCAUAAAGAACUAAAAAUGCCACGAUGAUCUGGACAAGACUGCCGAAUCGAGGCAAAGGUUGGUCUCCCUCUUCCGUGCCCGUGGUAGUCAAAAGGAUGACCAUCCCGGAAAAGAUCCUUCUUUUCCCCCUUCUCCAGGUCGAUGUGGUGGAUGGACGGUGGCUUGGUGAUCAGGUCAUCUGGUUUCCCCUGGUACACGCCGUUGCCCUCCACCUCCCUGUACUUCCUCGACGCUGGAUCCUUCUGGAAGACGUCCCGGAGCAUCCUCUUCAGCUCAGGGUCCGGGCAGAACAGGUAUUCAUAGAGGGCAGCCGCCAUGAUGCCACCCAGGAUUGGACCAACCCAGUACACCUGCAAUACAGAUAAAAGGCAAACCCAGUUCAGACAAAUAUGAACCCAUUACCACAGCGGAGGCUACCCCAUUCUGACAGAGCUGCCAUGCAGCUAAAGGUGCAACAGUCGUUGUUUAUGGGCAUCCUCAGUGGAGCCAGGUACCUUUUUUGGGUUCUGCCAGGUCAACCAUGUUGUUCUCAAAAGACAGCAAACACCCGUCAGAUAAUGACGCCACUCUCAGUGAGAAGACCUAUCCUAAUUAUAUCCAAGACCCAGACCCUCCUCCCCUACACACACACACACACACACACCAAGCAGUUCCACUGUGCCUUGCUGAGUCAGUAUGAACAGCUCCGUGAGAAUUAUUGCCCUGGAUACAGAAUUAAAGAAGCACAUGCUUUGUAUAGUCCGUAA